rnacentral:rRNA from 1 species
UUGAACGCUGGCGGCAGGCCUAACACAUGCAAGUCGAGCGGUAGCACAGAGAGCUUGCUCUCGGGUGACGAGCGGCGGACGGGUGAGUAAUGUCUGGGAAACUGCCUGAUGGAGGGGGAUAACUACUGGAAACGGUAGCUAAUACCGCAUAAUGUCGCAAGACCAAAGUGGGGGACCUUCGGGCCUCAUGCCAUCAGAUGUGCCCAGAUGGGAUUAGCUAGUAGGUGGGGUAACGGCUCACCUAGGCGACGAUCCCUAGCUGGUCUGAGAGGAUGACCAGCCACACUGGAACUGAGACACGGUCCAGACUCCUACGGGAGGCAGCAGUGGGGAAUAUUGCACAAUGGGCGCAAGCCUGAUGCAGCCAUGCCGCGUGUGUGAAGAAGGCCUUCGGGUUGUAAAGCACUUUCAGCGGGGAGGAAGGCGGUGAGGUUAAUAACCUCAUCGAUUGACGUUACCCGCAGAAGAAGCACCGGCUAACUCCGUGCCAGCAGCCGCGGUAAUACGGAGGGUGCAAGCGUUAAUCGGAAUUACUGGGCGUAAAGCGCACGCAGGCGGUCUGUCAAGUCGGAUGUGAAAUCCCCGGGCUCAACCUGGGAACUGCAUUCGAAACUGGCAGGCUAGAGUCUUGUAGAGGGGGGUAGAAUUCCAGGUGUAGCGGUGAAAUGCGUAGAGAUCUGGAGGAAUACCGGUGGCGAAGGCGGCCCCCUGGACAAAGACUGACGCUCAGGUGCGAAAGCGUGGGGAGCAAACAGGAUUAGAUACCCUGGUAGUCCACGCCGUAAACGAUGUCGAUUUAGAGGUUGUGCCCUUGAGGCGUGGCUUCCGGAGCUAACGCGUUAAAUCGACCGCCUGGGGAGUACGGCCGCAAGGUUAAAACUCAAAUGAAUUGACGGGGGCCCGCACAAGCGGUGGAGCAUGUGGUUUAAUUCGAUGCAACGCGAAGAACCUUACCUGGUCUUGACAUCCACAGAACUUUCCAGAGAUGGAUUGGUGCCUUCGGGAACUGUGAGACAGGUGCUGCAUGGCUGUCGUCAGCUCGUGUUGUGAAAUGUUGGGUUAAGUCCCGCAACGAGCGCAACCCUUAUCCUUUGUUGCCAGCGGUUAGGCCGGGAACUCAAAGGAGACUGCCAGUGAUAAACUGGAGGAAGGUGGGGAUGACGUCAAGUCAUCAUGGCCCUUACGACCAGGGCUACACACGUGCUACAAUGGCAUAUACAAAGAGAAGCGACCUCGCGAGAGCAAGCGGACCUCAUAAAGUAUGUCGUAGUCCGGAUUGGAGUCUGCAACUCGACUCCAUGAAGUCGGAAUCGCUAGUAAUCGUAGAUCAGAAUGCUACGGUGAAUACGUUCCCGGGCCUUGUACACACCGCCCGUCACACCAUGGGAGUGGGUUGCAAAAGAAGUAGGUAGCUUAACCUUCGGGAGGGCGCUUACCACUUUGUGAUUCAUGACUGGGGUGA